GGGACGAGAGAGGCAGACNGUAUUUUCGGGGUAGGGGUGAAAUCCUAUAAUCCCGGGAAGACCNCCAGUGGCGAAGGCUGUCUGCUAGAACGCGCCCGACGGUGAGGGAUGAAAGCUGGGGGAGCGAACCGGAUUAGAUACCCGGGUAGUCCCAGCUGUAAACGAUGCAGACUAGGUGUUUGAACGGCCACGCGCCGUUCUAGUGCCGCAGGGAAGCUGUUAAGUCUGCCGCCUGGGGAGUACGAUCGCAAGAUUGAAACUUAAAGGAAUUGGCGGGGGAGCACCACAAGGGGUGAAGCUUGCGGUUUAAUUGGAUUCAACGCCGG
rnacentral:rRNA from 1 species